GCUUACGGCCAUACCACCCUGAGCACGCCCCAUCUCGUUCGAUCUCGGAAGCUAAGCAGGGUCGGGCCUGGUUAGUACUUGGAUGGGAGACUGCCUAGGAAUACCAAGUGCUGUGAGCU
rnacentral:rRNA from 1 species